rnacentral:rRNA from 1 species
UACGUAGGGUGCGAGCGUUGUCCGGAAUUAUUGGGCGUAAAGAGCUCGUAGGCGGUCUGUCGCGUCGAAUGUGAAAACCCGGGGCUCAACUCCGGGCUUGCAUUCGAUACGGGCAGGCUAGAGUUCGGUAGGGGAGUCUGGAAUUCCUGGUGUAGCGGUGAAAUGCGCAGAUAUCAGGAGGAACACCGGUGGCGAAGGCGGGACUCUGGGCCGAUAUUGACGCUGAGGAGCGAAAGCGUGGGGAGCGAACAGG